rnacentral:ncRNA from 1 species
UCAAAGGCAAUGACUGAAAUAAGUAAGCCAUAGUGGAACAUCCAGAGAGCUGCCGGUUGGUGGAAGGCAGAAGGGAAACUAUCGCUGAAUACCUUCACAAGCUGCGCACCGAACGAUUCCAAGUAGGCUGCGACGGAAUGCAACCGUUAGUAUGCACAAGUAUUGACAGAUACUUGAUGAGUACAGUUAUGCGAAUAGCUGUUCAAUUAAGGUGGUACCGCGAGUUAUUCCUCGUCCUUAUA